rnacentral:sRNA from 1 species
ACCUACAGGCGUGUAGGCUCCGGUUCCUGCGCCCCGGCCUCCCCCGGCUGACGGCCGCUCGCUACGUUUUGCAAACA